AAGCUGAGCGACCGUAGCAGCGGAGAGGCUGCGGCGGGUGCGGUGGGCUUAGUCCCAGCGCGGGUGCGGCUCACGGCGCGGGCCCCACUCUUCCGCACCCUGCUCCGGCCUUGGCCACAGCGAACUGAACGCGGUAGCGGCCUCAGGGAGAGAUGAGCAGUAACAGCAAUAAGAGAGCUCCAACAACUGCGACACAAAGGUUGAAACAGGACUACCUUCGAAUUAAGAAAGACCCAGUGCCUUACAUCUGUGCGGAGCCCCUCCCUUCAAAUAUUCUUGAAUGGCAUUAUGUUGUCCGAGGCCCUGAGAUGACUCCUUAUGAAGGUGGCUAUUAUCAUGGAAAACUAAUUUUUCCCAGAGAAUUUCCAUUUAAGCCUCCUAGUAUUUACAUGAUAACCCCCAAUGGAAGAUUUAAGUGCAACACAAGGCUGUGUCUCUCCAUCACAGAUUUCCAUCCAGAUACAUGGAAUCCAGCGUGGUCCGUCUCCACCAUUCUAACAGGGCUCCUGAGCUUUAUGGUGGAGAAAGGCCCCACCCUGGGGAGCAUAGAGACAUCGGACUUCACGAAAAAACAGCUGGCAGCACAGAGUCUAGUGUUUAAUUUAAAAGAUAAAGUCUUCUGUGAAUUAUUUCCUGAA
rnacentral:lncRNA from 1 species